UACGUAGGGGGCAAGCGUUGUCCGGAAUCAUUGGGCGUAAAGAGCGUGUAGGCGGCCUGAUAAGUCGGCUGUGAAAGUCAAGGGCUCAACCCUUGAAUGCCGGCCGAUACUGUCAGGCUAGAGUCCGGAAGAGGCGAGUGGAAUUCCUGGUGUAGCGGUGAAAUGCGCAGAUAUCAGGAGGAACACCGGUGGCGAAGGCGGAUCUCUGGGCCUUACCUGACGCUCAGGCAGCGAAAGCUAGGGGAGCGAACAGG
rnacentral:rRNA from 1 species